AUUCUGGUUGAUUACGUCACNUANGANCAGUUACUAGUCUUCAUCAUCCUUCUUCAUCUCAACAACAGAGCUUUACGAUGCCGAAAACCUUCUUCACUCACGCGGCUGUUGCUCCAUCAGACUUGCGUCCAUUGUGGAAGAUUCCCUACUGCUGCCUCCCGUAGGAGUAAGGGAAUCUUCCACAAUGGACGCAAGUCUGAUGGAGCAACGCCGCGUGAGUGAAGAAGGUUUUCGGAUCGAAAAGCUCUCUUGUUGGUGAAAAAGGAUAGAGGUAGUAACUGGCCUUUAUUUGACGGUAAUCAACCAGAAAGUCACGGCUAACUACUUGCGGGCGUUAUUUGUCUUUUUCUUUUCGCAGCCUCCCGAUUCCGUCUCCCGAGACGUUCCCCUUCUACCCCCUGUUCCAACCCUCCCCCACACCUCACCUGCCU
rnacentral:rRNA from 1 species